GGCCUGAGAGACUGGGAUGGCUCCCCAGGCAGAGCUCAUCUGCCAAAGCUGAGCAGACUGGCUGGCUCUCUGGGACAUUUCCUUCCCCAGUGAGGAAGGGUGGCACAAGCAUCCACCACUGUGAAAUCACCGGAACCGACUGACUGUUUGCUCUUGCAACAUUCUUGACACCAAAUCAGGUGAAAUGUUUUCUUAGGCCAUAUGUUCCCCUCUCUCCCAUGGCUUGAUGGAGAACAGAUGCACAGAUCUCCGAGGGAAAAGGGAAUGAAGUUAAGAGCCGAGGUCUUUGACAGUGGAGCUCAGAGGCGUCAGACUGCUUUAAGCUAAUGGGAUGAAUGUCAUCUCGAGAUCAUGAGCUGCUCAACAUCCUUCAAGAAACAGAAGAAUGUCUGGCAGAGAUUAGCUGCUCACCUGACCAUCCCUCACUGGUCCUCAGCACGACAACUGCGCGUUGCCAAUUUAGAAGAUGUCCUUGUACCAGAGCUCAUAUCCAGCUGUGUUUGCUCACGUUCUGUCCCCUAACAAUGUUCCUCUGAACUCUGAGAUAUAGAAAAACAUUCAGUUUUUCAAAUGCAUGAGGAGAAGUCUCGACCUUGGUUUAUCAUCCCAUUGAUAAUCUAACUGAAUUAUAGAUUCUGUUCUGAAGAAUCCGUCCUAUUGUAAGUGUCUUGCAAAGUGCAAAGAGCAGCAUUAUAUUAUAUGCUUAUCUUUCUGAAACAUAUGGGUAAGAGGUAGUUCAACAAUUCAGAUCAAGUACUUCACAUCCCAGCCUCUGGAAUGCUUUCAAGCAUUGUGCUGUGUUUUGCCCUGUGCAAAAGCAGGUUUUCGUUUGGCUGGAGUCAGCGGAUGCCUUUGGAUGUUUUACAAUGAAUGCCUCUCUUAAAAUUGUGCAGGGUCAGGGUAAAAACCUCACAGCCUAUCCUCACAGCCGUCCUAACCUCACAGCCCUGUCAACAGUUGCAGAACGGUGCAAAUUCCUGGUAAUACAGCUUGAGAAGUCGUAAAGAAAUUGGUUGUGAAGAAAUGAUGCGGAAAUGCCACAAGUAUGAGACACAUCCAGCUGUAUGGGCGCAUCCACCCGGUAUAUUGACAGGGCAGGCGUUUUUCUUUUUUCCCUGCACCUUAGUCAUGAAGCAAAGCCAUAUUUCUUGCCAUUCUCUGGCCUUUAGCCUAGCAUGUUAUUUUACACCUCAUAAAACGUUUUAUUAAUAAAACUACAAAAUAAAAAAUAAUUGUCAAUGUC